rnacentral:rRNA from 1 species
ACUCCUACGGGAGGCAGCAGUGGGGAAUAUUGCACAAUGGGCGCAAGCCUGAUGCAGCCAUGCCGCGUGUAUGAAGAAGGCCUUCGGGUUGUAAAGUACUUUCAGUCGUGAGGAAGGCGGCGUCGUUAAUAGCGGCGUUGUUUGACGUUAGCGACAGAAGAAGCACCGGCUAACUCCGUGCCAGCAGCCGCGGUAAUACGGAGGGUGCGAGCGUUAAUCGGAAUUACUGGGCGUAAAGCGCAUGCAGGUGGUUUGUUAAGUCAGAUGUGAAAGCCCGGGGGCUCAACCUCGGAAUUGCAUUUGAAACUGGCAGGCUAGAGUCUGUAGAGGGGGUAGAAGUUUCAGGUGUAGCGGUGAAAUGCGUAGAGAUCUGAAGGAAUACCAGUGGCGAAGGCGGCCCCCUGGACAAAGACUGACGCUCAGAUGCGAAAGCGUAGGGGAGCGAAACAGGAUUAGAUACCCUGGUAGACUGUCA